UCGUUGACCAGCAACGCUCUGACUCUACUCUCAACUCCCCCUCCCCUCUCUGCUCUCUCCACACAGAUGAGGCUUAGGUUGUUCAAUGUGUUUAGUAGUAAUUAUAAAAUCAUCAUUUAAAUCCCGGCACACUCCCGUGCCACUCUCAAAUUUUCUGCAAGGAAAUUUUCUAG